CGAAUGGGUCGCAGCCGAAGCCAAUCCCCACGGAGGGAACGUAGGCGGUCCCGGUCCACUUCCCGGGAGAGAGAAGGAAGAGAUCCAAAAAGGAGCCCUUCGAGAUCCCAACACCGAAGGCGCUCCUGAUCCCCAAGACGACAUGGAUCCACAUCUCCUUCCCCUUCUCGACUAAAAGAAAGAAGAGAUGAGGAAAAGAAAGAAACAAAAGAAACAAAGAGCAAAGAACGUCAGAUUACCGAGGAAGACUUAGAGGGCAAAACAGAGGAAGAAAUUGAAAUGAUGAAGUUCAUGGGAUUUGCCUCUUUUGACUCAACAAAAGGGAAGAAGGUAGAUGGCUCUGUCAAUGCCUAUGCCAUAAAUGUGUCUCAGAAGAGGAAGCACAGGCAGUACAUGAAUAGAAAAGGUGGCUUCAACAGACCUUUGGAUUUUAUUGCAUGAGAACUGAAAUUUGAAGAAUGAUUUUCCCCCUCGU